UUUUCUUAUUUUUUUUGUUUAUUUACGUUUAGAGCAAGAUUAUAAAUUAAGCUGAGCAUAAUUUCUGCAGAUUAUAGAUGGCCCACUAAAAGACAAAGGACGAAGGCGCAAACUUCAAGUAAUUCUUCUUGCCACAUAGGUUUUUCUAAUUGUGCGAGGAUACCACUUGUAACUGCCUUCAGUCAUCUAUGUCAGUAGUAUUUUGAGACGAAUUUCAUUACAAAAUGCAAUGACUCAAACAAUCAGAUUGUUCAUGAUGAUUCCUAAUUGUAUAACCAAUAAGCUUAACACACCUUCCUAUUUUAGAGUUGUUAUCUUAAUAAGUAUAUACUAGAUGUUAUUAGUGUUGUUGUUGGGUGAAGAACAUUUGUUGCUCAUGGUUAGAAUGUAGAAUUUUCUUAACACAACAAGCUAGAGCGAAUGUGGAGGCCAAUAUAGAUUGAAACCAUUAAUUCAUAUUAAAAUGGUCAUGACUUCUUAUUUUUAUUUGACAUAAAUGUUUGUGACUUGUUUGAAUUAAUGUGUUCUGCAAUUAUAUGAUACUUCUAUAUUCAUACUAUUUUUAUGAAAUAUACAGCUAGUUUGUCGACAGGAGCACGAACAACCACAACUUCUACAAAGCUUCCACAUGGUUUCAUCUAGUAUCAUGCGAAAAACAUUGAGACAAUCAAGAUUACUUGAGCAACCUAAAUUAUGUUAGUUGUUACCUGCUUUCAAAUGAAUGUGUCCUCUCAUAGUAUGCAUGUACUUCUGUUGUUGAGGAAUUUAUAUCAUUAGACAGUUCUAUUAUUCAUAAUUAUUGAUUAAUGGGUACAUACCUUCAAUCCUGGAAGAUUGUGAGAUAGCCAGUCAAGGAAGUGAUUUGUUUAUUGAAUUGUGCAUAAUAGGGACAUUUUUACAUUUAAAGGAACAUCAUAGGAAUAAUUUGGUAUUUCGAGAAGAUUUUCCAGUCCCCUGCCCCAACCUGCUGGAGACAGUAUGAGUGCUGACACACACAUUUGUAACGUACCAGCAAGCUAGUGCAGUAGCUUCAGUCACAUGCUCUGGAAGCCCAAUUUGGGUCUUCCUUCAGAAGGCUCAUCAAGGCCAUCAUCACACCAUUCUAGUUAGUUACUUCUGCAAUGAUAUAUGUCCGUAAGAAAAUAAGAAGCUAAGGUUCUAGUAGACUUAUAAUCCUCUAACAGCACCACGUUGGAUAUGCCCGCACAAAUAAAAUAACAUGAGUGGAGUCUAUUUUGUAAGCACAUAUCUUGUCACCAGUCAACUACUAGUACAGUAAGAGCAUCAAAGAG
rnacentral:lncRNA from 1 species